CUUAAGUACCUCUCUCGCAUCAAGACAAAUGGGCUCUCUAACUCAAAAAGCAUGUCACGAAGAACUGUACUUAUCAACGAACCAAAAUAUAUAACAUGCAAGGAGACUUGCAUUGUUAUCAGAUGCAAUGGAAAUGGACAUAUACACAUAUAUUGCUAUGUGUUUGAUCAACCUCACAAAAUAUUAUUAUUUUUGAAGCUGUGUGUUGCAAUGGGGCAUAAUGAACCAAACACUAGUGUAGAAAAGCGUAGUAGAGGCGUUCAAGAAACGUCGUUAUUGGCGCGGAAGGGCGAUGGCGCUAGUAUUAAGCUGCUGAUAAGGCUCACUAGCAGCGCCGGCGUCCAACACCGAGAGAAACAUCCUAAACUUCCCUCGCCACGAUGACGCUAGUGUAGAAAAAAUGUUAACCAUGUAUAUGAAAAAAAUAAUAUAAAAAUAUACAAUGUGUGUGAGAAAAAUUGAUCAUCUAUUUAAACAAAUGUUAAUUUAGCUUUUGAAACAAAAGUGCUGACCAUGUAUUCCAAAAAUGUUAAAAUUGUAUUUAAAAAAUGAUAAAUGUGUAUAGAAAAAAUGUUGAAAAUGUAUUACAAAUGUUUUGACCUUAUAUUUGUAAAUUUUGGAAUUUGUACAGAAAUAAUGCGGACCAUGUAUUCAGAAAAUGUUAAACUUGUAUUUGAAAAAAAUGUUAAAUA